AGUGGGAUCAAAUGGAUUGAGAGGAGGCU
rnacentral:piRNA from 1 species